UACGUAGGGGGCUAGCGUUGUCCGGAAUUACUGGGCGUAAAGCGUGCGCAGGCGGUCAUUUAAGUCAGAUGUGAAAGCCCCGAGCUUAACUUGGGAACUGCAUCUGAAACUGGUUGGCUAGAGUUUUGUAGAGGGGAAUAGAAUUCCAUGUGUAGCGGUGAAAUGCGCAGAUAUUAGGAGGAAUACCGGUGGCGAAGGCAAUUUGCUGGCCAUUAUCUGACGCUAAGGUACGAAAGCGUGGGUAGCAAACAGG
rnacentral:rRNA from 1 species